rnacentral:sRNA from 1 species
AGGGGUAAUUAGACACCUGGGGCUUGUGUGGGGGUCUGCUUGGCGGUGAGGGGGCUCCACACAAGCUUCCUUUCCGUCAUGCCGGCCCACACCCUGGCUCUGACCAUUCUGUUCUCUCUGGCAGGUCAUGAUGAUGGGCAGCGCCCGCGUGGCGGAGCUGCUGCUGCUCCACGGCGCGGAGCCCAACUGCGCCGACCCCGCCACUCUCACCCGACCCGUGCACGACGCUGCCCGGGAGGGCUUCCUGGACACGCUGGUGGUGCUGCACCGGGCCGGGGCGCGGCUGGACGUGCGCGAUGCCUGGGGCCGUCUGCCCGUGGACCUGGCUGAGGAGCUGGGCCAUCGCGAUGUCGCACGGUACCUGCGCGCGGCUGCGGGGGGCACCAGAGGCAGUAACCAUGCCCGCAUAGAUGCCGCGGAAGGUCCCUUAGCUGGCUGGACCAACCUCAGGAUUUCCAAACCCAAUUGUGCGUGGCAUCAUCUGGAGAUCUCU